rnacentral:rRNA from 1 species
UACGGGGGGAGCAAGCGUUGUUCGGAUUUACUGGGCGUAAAGCGCACGUAGGCGGCUUUGCAAGUUAGAGGUGAAAGCCCGGGGCUCAACUCCGGAAUUGCCUUUAAAACUGCAUCGCUAGAAUUGUGGAGAGGUAAGUGGAAUUCCGAGUGUAGAGGUGAAAUUCGUAGAUAUUCGGAAGAACACCAGUGGCGAAGGCGACUCACUGGACACAUAUUGACGCUGAGGUGCGAAAGCGUGGGGAGCAAACAGG